ensembl:lncRNA
GAUCUUUCCAACCGAGGGAUCAAAACCUGCUCUCCUGCUUGCAGGCAGAUGCUUUACUGUUGAGCCACCAGGGAUAGUGGUUGACAUGGGAAACACUAAAUAUGAAACAGCAAAUCUGUCCAUGGUUCAUAAGCAAAUGAAGUUCAUUCCUUCAUAUGGAGGAAGUAUAUUUAUAAUUAUAUAUUGUACAUUUAUACUCGGAUCUGGAUUGGGUUUUGCAGAGUGGAACAAAUGGAACAAGGAAAAGAGCUGGUGGUGGUGAAUGUUGCAGUGUGUAAAUUAAAUUCCUAAUGACAUAAUUUGGUAAGUUUCUUCUUUUUCAGAAAGUAAGCUUGCAAGGAGUAAGCCUUAUUUCCUUGGAAACUUGGCACAUUCAGCAAUCUGCUUGUUUUUAUUUUGUCUUCC